rnacentral:rRNA from 1 species
GUCGUAACCGGGCUGAAGUCGUACCGUAAGGAGCGGUGGACUGGUUACGAGUGAGAAUGUUGGCAUCAGUAGCGAGAUGUGGGUGAGAAUCCCACAGGCCGAAAACCUAAGGUUUCCUCAGGAAGGUUCGUCCGCUGAGGGUUAGUCGGGACCUAAGCCGAGGCCGAAAGGCGUAGGUGAUGGACAACUGGUUGAUAUUCCAGUACCACUAUAAUCGUUAUUAUCGAUGGCGUGACGCAGGAGGAUAGUGUGUGCUAGCUAUUGGAUGCUAGUCUAAGCGUUUAGGCAGUGAGAGUAGGCAAAUCCGCUCUCAUAAUGCUGAGGCGUGAUGGGGAAGGUUCUACGGAACCGAAGUACAUGAUUCCACGCUGCCAAGAAAAGCGUCUAGAGAGAGAAGUAGUGCCCGUACCGCAAACCGACACAGGUAGGUGAGGAGAGAAUCCUAAGGCCGGCGGAAGAAUUACAGUUAAGGAACUCGGCAAAUUGACCCCGUAAGUUCGCGAGAAGGGGUGCCUACGAGAGUAGGCCGCAGAGAAUAGGCCCAAGCAACUGUUUAGCAAAAACACAGGUCUCUGCUAAAGCGUAAGCUGAUGUAUAGGGGCUGACGCCUGCCCGGUGCUGGAAGGUUAAGGGGAACACUUAGCGCAAGCGAAGGUGUGAACUUAAGCCCCAGUAAACGGCGGCCGUAACUAUAACGGUCCUAAGGUAGCGAAAUUCCUUGUCAGGUAAGUUCUGACCCGCACGAAUGGCGUAAUGACUUGGGCACUGUCUCAACUGUAAAUCCGGCGAAGUUGUAGUGCGAGUGAAGAUGCUCGCUACCCGCGAUUGGACGGAAAGACCCCGUAGAGCUUUACUGUAGCUUAGCAUUGAGUUUUGGUAUUGUCUGUACAGGAUAGGUGGGAGACUAGGAAACCAGGGCGUCAGCCUUGGUGGAGUCAACCUUGGGAUACCACCCUGACAGUACUGAAAUUCUAACUGGCGGCCAUGAAUCUGGUCACAGGACAUUGUUAGGUGGGCAGUUUGACUGGGGCGGUCGCCUCCUAAAAAGUAACGGAGGCGCCCAAAGGUUCCCUCAGAACGGUCGGAAAUCGUUCGAAGAGUGCAAAGGCAGAAGGGAGCCUGACUGCGACACCCACAAGUGGAGCAGGGACGAAAGUCGGGCUUAGUGAUCCGGUGGUACCUCGUGGGAGGGCCAUCGCUCAACGGAUAAAAGCUACCUCGGGGAUAACAGGCUGAUCUCCCCCAAGAGUCCACAUCGACGGGGAGGUUUGGCACCUCGAUGUCGGCUCGUCGCAUCCUGGGGCUGAAGUAGGUCCCAAGGGUUGGGCUGUUCGCCCAUUAAAGCGGCACGCGAGCUGGGUUCAGAACGUCGUGAGACAGUUCGGUCCCUAUCCGUCGCGGGCGUAGGAAAUUUGAGAGGAGCUGUCCUUAGUACGAGAGGACCGGGAUGGACUGACCUCUGGUGUACCAGUUGUUCCGCCAGGAGCACAGCUGGGUAGCUAAGUCGGGAAUGGAUAAACGCUGAAAGCAUCUAAGCGUGAAGCCAACCUCAAGAUGAGAUUUCCCAUAGCGUAAGCUAGUAAGAUCCCUUGAAGAAC